CCCAGGAGGCUGAAGUUUCUUAGGUUAGCUGUACUUGCAGGGCAAUCAUCAGGCAACAGCCCUGCACUUGAUAGACAGUGGAUGCUUGGAAGGGCUCAUCUGAGCUUCCAUUUAACUGUCUCUAACUUGCUCCUCUCAAGGUGUUUUACAUGCAUUACUUUAUUCCUUAACAACUGGCCUAGUGCAUGAAUAAAAAACCCUAAAAUGACUUCUGGUAGCUUGGGACUCCCUGGGAAAAUAGAAAAGUCACCACAAAUCUCAUUUUGGAAAAAUUCUCCGUUUUCCUUAUGGAGCCCCUGGAAUUGAAGGAAUCAAACUUAACUUAUGAAGCCAAUGAAGCCCUUGGAAAACCGGCAUCAUAUUUUGUCUACAGAGUCCCUGUACAGGGUUUCUGAUCUGUGGUAAGUAAAGAAUGCCACUUUCUAGCAGGCCGGGAGCCCUAAGUUAUCUUGUGAUCUCAAGAGAAGAGAAAUUCACCAACUAAUAGGUAUUUAGUGGUACAAAUUCAUGAAUGGGGUUGGGUUUAAAAAGGCCUUAUCUCACAUUCCUUCUAUGGAACAAAGUUCCAUAAAAGCCAAUUUAAAAGGCCUAUGUAACAAAUAAUUAUUCUU